rnacentral:rRNA from 1 species
AUGGAUAUCACAGUAAACUGCAAAACAAAAUCCCGUGAGAUUCAAAAAAAUCAAAAUGAACUUCAAGCAGCGGGUACAAUGCGUAUGAGGGAGGUGCUGGAGCCAUGGCAUGACAACGGGCGUGAUCUUGUGUUGGGGAGGCCGGCCACCAGAGAGGAGGGAGGAAGCAGUGGGAGGGAGGCCCGCGCUCGCCGGUGGUGGAGGCUUCGGGUGUUGGGGCAGGCCCGAGGGAAGAAGGGGAAUGGGAUCCGGUGGUGGAAGCUCGGUACAGCGCGGAUCAUGCCGGAUCUAGAGCAGUCCACACAGAGAGAGGUUGAGGACCAUGGGGAGGGGCGUCGCGACUAG